ensembl:lncRNA
GCAGAAUGUUAGAAACUUUUAGCUACAUGAAAUACAUUUGUACAGUUCAUCAAGCCUUAGGUCAGGACUUUGUCCACACGGUUAAACACCGUUUCUUUUAAUUAUCUGCAAAUGUCCCAGAGUAUUAUUUUUUCCCGAUUAUAUAAGGUGUCCUUUACAAUUUCAGGGAUUAAAAGUUUGAUCCUGCUUCCCACAUGACACUCUGGAAACUCUCCCUGCCUGAGAGCCAGCCUGAGAUCUGCACAUACCUUAAGAUAUGAAAAUACGGGUAAAGUGCUGUACGGAACUGGUUCUGGUUCCCUGUGUAGGAGCAGCCAGGGGAUGGUUUAUAUUACCUAGCUUUUACGUCCCACUUCUUAUCGCUACUGUCCAUCACAAGAGACAUUCAUUUCCUUUUUUUUUUUUUUUUUUUUUUUUUUUUUUUUUGAGGGGGAAGGUGUCUAUUUGUUCUGUUCUGUUUUGUUUUGUUUUUCUGUCUCAGGGAACUUACUGGAUUUAAUUAGCUUUUGAAAACUCCAUCUUUCUGGCCAGAGCGGGGAGCCCCGGUCCCCCCUAGGAGGACCAGCCGGCAGCGUCUGCCGCGGUCCAUGCUGGGAGCAGCACUCCCUAGGAACACGUGGGGAAACCACCAGUACCAACAGCUGCCUCUCCCUGCGACUCCCUUCACCCCACAAACGUUAAGACCGAAGGAGCAACAUCGUAUCUUUCUUUUCUGCCUAGCUGGAGUUCUUUCUUUGAGGUCUUUCUGCUUUAUGCACCUGGGAGCCCAGUGUAAAACGUUUAUUCCAUUUCUUGAGCUAACCUGCCCCAACACUCUGCUUCUACCAGCUACAGAUGGGAGGGGAGAGCAUCGCUGGAGCGCAGGCAGCCGCUCACCCCAAAUAGCCCGGCUCAGGCACGCAGAGGAUGCGAACUGGAAGAUCUUGACUUGGACUGAGUUUCACCAGGAGCACGCGGGAGGGAGGAGCUGUGAACUGUCAUGGUUGCAUCCCACCAGACCACCGCGUGUUAAACGGCUUUUGAACAGAAACAAUACCACAUCUACAGGCUUGGAAUCUCAACUGGAAAUUAGCAUAGUUCAGAGGGGGAGCGUUUACUUGGCACGUCUCUUGCCUGUAGCAGCAGAGGAGCCCAGUGGAAGUUCAGUGGAACUACACCACUUCUCACUAGCUAAAAAUCUGCCCUUGCGUUUUCUGGUUUGCUGCUGUACCCUAACCUGAACAAAAGGUGCUUGGGAAAAAAGACCUUAUUCCAGGAUGUUGCCUUCCAAAUACCUUUAUUCUAAGGUAAAUUGGAGUUCCUUUUUGGCUCUUGUUAACCGAAAUGAAACUUCUGUUCAAACUACAAGAAAUGAAAGGAGGCUUCGUUAGUCUGGGGUUAGUUUGCAAUUCUGGCGCUGCCGCUGUCUGUCUUUGCAAUCUCGGGCCAGUCACCUAAGCCUAUGACAAGGUAUCUCCUGGGAACUGCCAUAUGGAGAGCUGUGAUGGCAGGGGCAGCCAAGUCCAGCCAGCAGCUGACCGCUGUCCAGGGCGGUGGGACCACGCAAUUUGGAGCGGAGAAGGGGUACAGGAACAGUGCUACUGGCAGUGGUGAGCUAUUAGGGUGGCUCAUCCAUCUUGCGGAACCCCAGCUGUCCACACAAGAGAUGCCUUCAUACCAGGUUUGGCAUGGACCCCUUGCUGACCUAGUUCAGUUCUCUAAGCCAACAAAAAAUGUUUGCUACAUUUGCUGAGACAGUUCUCUGCUGGUUUGGCCAGCUGAAUCGAGCAAUUGAUGGGUGAGGUGAGCAGCAGCAGCAGCACACAACAAGAGCAAAGCGCCCAGCUGCAGGGCAGAGAAGAGAGCAAACCAGUGCAGCGCUGAUUUGGAUCAGCUACAGAACCACACCAUUCGAUUAAACCACUGAUGAAGGCUAAGUUUGGCCUAAUCCUUGGCUCUGAAGCAGCUGAAAUGCUGGAACAUGGUGUUUUCUCCAAGCUUUGCUCUGCAAGAGGAGCACUAAUUCCUUAAACUGACAACCCCCCAUCAGGACUCUACUCUUCGUGCUGCUAGAGAACUGCCC